UACGUAGGUGGCGAGCGUUGUCCGGAUUUACUGGGCGUAAAGAGCGCGCAGGCGGUCGGAUCAGUCGAAUGUGAAAGCCCCCGGCUCAACUGGGGAGGGUCAUUCGAUACUGUCCGACUCGAAGGCAGGAGAGGGAAGCGGAAUUCCCGGUGUAGUGGUGAAAUGCGUAGAUAUCGGGAGGAACACCAGUGGCGAAGGCGGCUUUCUGGCCUGUUCUUGACGCUGAGGCGCGAAAGCUAGGGGAGCGAACGGG
rnacentral:rRNA from 1 species